rnacentral:lncRNA from 1 species
GAGUUCUCUAUAUAUUCUGGAUAUUAAUCACUUAUCAGAUAUAUGAUUUGCAAAUAUUUUCUCCCAUUUUGUGGUUGCUUUUUUACUCUGUGGAUAGUGUCUUUCAAUGCACACAAUUUUAAAAUUUUCAUGAAGUCCAAUUUGUCUGAUUUUUCUUUUGUUACCUGUGUCUUUGAUGUCGUAUCCAAGAAAUCAUUGCCAAAUCCAAUGUCAUGAAUCUUUUGCUCGAUGUUUCCUUCUAAGAGUUUUAUUAUUUUAGGUCUUACAUUUAGGUAUUGAAUCCAUUUUGAGUUAAAUUUUGUUUAUGGUGUUAGGUAAGGGUCCAACUUCAUUCUUCUUUGUGGAUAUCCAGUUUCCCCAGCACCAUUUGUUGAAAAGACUUUCUUUUCCUCAUUGAAUUGCUUUGAUGACUUUGUCAAAAAUCAUUUGACCAUAUAUAUGUGACUAUUUUUGAGUUGUCUUCUGUUCGAUUGACAUAUUUUUUUCUUUUUGCUGAUCCCAUACUCUCUUGAUUACAGUGGCUUUUAUAAUAAGUUUCAAAGUAAAGUAGUGUAACUUCUCUGAUUUUAUUCUUCUUAAAGAUUUCUUUUGGCUCUUCUAGGUCCUUUGUAUUUUCAUAUAAAUUUUAGAGUCCACUUUUCCUUAUAGAUUUCAGUAUCAGUUUUUAUUUUCUACAAAAGCAUCUGUAGAUUUUGCUUGACACUGUGUUCACUCCAGAGAUCAAUUUGGAGCGAGUAGACAUCUUAACACUCUAUAAAUAUGAUAUCUCUCUCCAUUUAUUUAGAACAUCUUUAUUUAUUUAUUUUUUGAGGAAGAUUAGCCCUGAGCCAACAUCCGUACCCAUCUUCCUCUACUUUAUAUGUGGAACGCCUGCCACAGUAUGGCUUGAUAAGCAGUGUGCAGGUCUGCGCCCAGGAUCUGAACCAGCAAACCCUGGAUGGCCAAAGCAGAGUGCAUGAACUUAACUGCUAUGCUGCUAGGGCGGCCCCAUCUUUAAUUUUUUUCUCUUUUUAAAGAUUGGCACCUGAACUGACAACUGUUGCCAAUCUUCUUUUGUUUUUUGUUUUUUUUCCUGCUUUUUCCCCCAAAUCCCCCCAGUACAUAAUUGUAUAUAUAUUUUUUUAGUUGUGGGUCCUUCUAGUUGUGGCAUGUGGGACGCUGCCUCAGCAUGGCCUGAUGAGCAGUACCAUGUCCGCGCCCAGGAUACAAACCAGUGAAACCCUGGGCCACUGAAGUGGAGCACUCGAACUUAACCACUUGGCCACAGGGCCGGCCCCGCCCGUCUUUAAUUUAAGAGCUAUAUUGUUUUUAGUUUUCAGUGUAAAAUCUUGCUCUUUGAUUUUUUAAUACUAUGAUAAUGGCAUUUUAAAAGUGUUUUAUUUCCAGUUAAUCAUUACUAGUAUAUAAAAAUAUAAUUGAAUUUUGUAUAUUGGCCUUUGUUAGUUCUAGUAGCUUUUUUUUAAAAGAUUUUCUAGACUUUACUAUGUAACUAUGAUAUGCAUGUAAGUAAAGACAGUUUUCUGUGUAUCUGAUUUCUUUUCCUUGCCUUAUUUUACUGACUAGAACCUCCAGUAUGAUAUUGAAUAGAAGUGGUGAGAGCAGACAUCCUUGACUUGUUCCCGAUUUUAGAGAGAAAGUUUUCAGUCUUCCACCAUGAAGGUGUUAUCCAUGGGUUGAAUAGCCCCUUCUAUUGCUCGUUUGCUGAAAGUUUUUUUUUUUUUUUUAAAGAUUUUAUUUUUUUCCUUUUUCUCCCCAAAGACCCCCGGUACAUAGUUGUAUAUUCUUCGUUGUGGGCCCUUCUAGCUGUGGCAUGUGGGACGCCGCCUCAGCGUGGUUUGAUGAGCAGUGCCAUGUCCGCGCCCAGGAUUCGAACCAACGAAACACUGGGCCACCUGCAGUGGAGCGUGCGAACUUAACCACUCGGCCACAGGGCCAGCCCCCUGAAAGUUUUUUGUUUUUUAUAUUGUAAAUGGGUGACUUUGAAUUCUAAUUGUGGUGUUCAAGGAUUUUUUAAAAGGAUUUUUAGAAGGGGUUAUAAUCGUGAAUCUCCUAUAGGUAUAAAAUGAACACUUGUCAAAUAUUUUAUUUAGCUCACUAAUUAAUGAGGAAACUGGUGAGAUGUUAAGAUCAAUUCAAAGGAAAAUUUGAAGAGCUGCUUAUUUAUAUGCAGUAAAGGAAUGCUGAGACUGGUCUAUCCUCUGGCCAGUUAUCGGUUGUAAUCCACUGGACACAACUAAUUUGUUCUUUUGAACACAAGAAUAGCUCAUGUUAUUAUCAACUUUUUACAUUUUAUCAAAUUGAAAAAUUGCUCAAAGACAAUUUAAAAGAGAGGUCAUGAAUACCUAAACUAGAGAGUACAUUCCCUAGUCUGUUUUUUUUUUUUUAAGAUUUUAUUUUUUCCUCCCCAAAGCCCCCCGGUGCAUAGUUGUAUAUUCUUCGUUGUGGGUCCUUCUAGUUGUGGCAUGUGGGACGCUGCCUCAGCGUGGUUUGAUGAGCAGUGCCAUGUCCGCGCCCAGGAUUCGAACCAAUGAAACACUGGGCCGCCUGCAGCGGAGUGUGCGAACUUAACCACUCGGCCAUGGGGCCAGCCCCCCCUAGUCUUUUCUUUUUUGGUCCAUUUCAAAGCUUUUCAGAUUUUCAUGAUCCCCGGUGAUGUUGAACAGUUUCCUUACAUUUAUUGGUUAUAUAUAUGUAUUCUGCUGUGAAAUAUCUCUUCAUUGUCUCUUGCCUAUUUUUUGACCUAGUUUUGAGUGUGUUAUUGAUUUAUAUGUUCUUGAUAAUAAUACAUUAUAAAUUGUGUGUAUUGUGAAUAUUUUCUCCUAGUUUAUAACUUGUGUUUUCACUUCCUUUAAAGUAUUUUUUGAUGAGCAAUCGUUCUUAAUUUUAAUGUAGUCAAAUUUCUCUUGUUUCAGAAAUCUUUCCUUAUCCAGGGGUCAAAAGAUACCCAUCUUUUCCACUAAGGUUUUUUUUUUCUUUGAGGAAGAUUAGCUCUGAGCUAACAUCUGCUGCCAAUCCUCCUCUUUUUGCUGAGGAAGACUGGCUCUGAGCUAACAUCCGUGCCCAUCUUCCUCUACUUUAUAUGUGGGACACCUGCCACAGCAUGGCUUGACAAGUGGUGCAUAGGUCUGCAUCCAGGAUCCGAACCGGUGAACCCCAGCCACUGAAGUGGAAGGUGUGAACUUAACCACUGCACCACCGGGCAGGCCCCUCUACUAAGUUUUUUAAAGUUGUUUUUGAUAUUUAAGUCCUCAGUCCAUCUGGUGUUGAUUUUUCAUAUGGUAUGAUGGUAGGAUCAAAUUUCACCUCUUUUUUUUUAACGUAUAUGUUACGGAUUGAAUAUUUGUGUACCCCCAAAUUCAGAUGUUGAAGCCCUAACCCCUAAUGUAUUGGUAUUUGGAGAUGGGAUCUUUAGGAAGUAAUUAGGGCUAGAUGAGGUUAUGAAGGUGGGGCCCUGGUCCGAUGGGAUUAGUGCCUUUAUAAGAAGAGGCAACAGAGAACUUGCUCUUCCUCUCCACCGUCUAUGUGAGGACACAGACAGAAGGCAGCCAUCUGCAGACCAGAAAGAGAGCUCCCACCAGAAUCUGACCAUGCUGGCAGCCUGAUUUCAGACUUCCAGCCUCCAGAACUGUGAAAAAAUAUCUCUGUUGUUUAAGCCACUCAGUCUAUGGUAUUUUGUUAAGGCAGCACAAGCAGACUGAAACAUCUUGUUUUACAUUUACUCUUUGGUACUUGAUGUUUCACUCUGUCAGACACUGCUUAUGUGGAGAGGGCCAGGUUUACAUCAGUCCCAGUGAUACCAGGGCAGGAGUUGGAGAGCCCCAGGCAUCAGAGCUUGAGUCAGUCACUCUUCACCCCAUACAGUAUAACCUCAGGUCACUUCUUUAUCUGUUUGUCUUGAGGAAGAAGCUGCCUUUAGAAGGAGACACUGCUGAGACAAUGGUUACUCAGCCCUGGGGUUUGCAUGGGAGGAAAGGGUGAUGUGAAGAAGCAGCCAGGGAAGGUUAGGGUGUAUCUGGCUGUUUUUCUUAGCUCCUGACUAUUUUCCUGAGGACCUGAGACCAGAGGUCAGAGUAAUGCUUAUAUGGGGCCAGAUUGUGUGUACAUAGGUACUGGGACACAAGAAAAGCAAAAAAUAGAACUUUAAUAAUUCUUUUUCUGUUUUGUUAUCCCAUAACUUUGGUGGGCUGCCUCUUGCCUCAUGCCGAAGCCACCAUUCCACACAUCACAGUUCAAAAUGGGUCCUUGUCACCCCACGUAUUUCUCAUAAUUCUCUCCAUUUUUCUGGGGUAGCUUCCCCAAGGGCUGAUAUUCUGAGAGGGGGUCAGCAGUUUGGCUAAUUCAGCUUCUUGGCAGGAACUGGAGCCAGUGUAAAGUUUUUCUUAGCCUUCUUAGACUUUCUUUACAUAAUUCCAGGUAACUUUAAUCUGACCAAACAAGUGAGUAGGUUCAAGAUUUCUCAGUCAUCUGCAAGACUUCUUGCUUGCCAUGUCUGAAGCCCUCUGUAGAGACUGUAUAAAGGUAUAGGCUAGCUGUAGCAAAGUGUCCUACAGAAUCUUUUUGACCAUCCAGUGGUGUUUCACUGAGUUUUCACCCAGCCAGUGUUGGCUUUUUGGAUAGGUGGAGCCAAAAGUUCCUUUAGGUAGUGCAACUUGCUUAAUUCUAAGAGGGUCUCUAACUUAAAGUGUAUCUCCUUCUGCUUAGUAGUGUUACUUUAAAUUCUAACUCUGGACAGUCAUUCUUGCCCAAAAUGGCCCAUGAAUUUUUAAGUAUUUUAUUGCAUCUUUCAUGUAAAUUUUUAUUCUGCUUAUAAUGAGUAUAUUAAUGUUACAAUGUUUUAAGUUACUUAUUUCAGAGAAACUUGCUGCUCCAGGAGAAUGUAUUGUAUUUAUUCUGUUGUUUUGCUUAUUGCCUCCUAUAUCUCUCUGCCCCCUCCAAAGAAUUAGUCCAUUACACCAUACUACCUUCCAUUGUAACUCCUGGUGUUGUACUUAUUUUCCUUCUUUCUUUGUGCUUCCAGAGGAGAGGCAGGACCUGUUUCUCAUUUAUUUUUGUAUGUCUAGCUUUCACUAGAUUUGCCACAGAGUAGGUUCUAUGUAUUAGCUUAAUUCAAUUGAUUAAUUCAUAGCACAGCACUUAGGAUUUAUAACGCUUUAUAGUGUUCUAGGGAGAAAAGUAUGUACUCUUAACCACAGUGCAUUCUGUAUUUUGGCAUAGAACUUUAUGACUGAUUAUAUUGGUUGCAGGGUGGAGGGGGCGAGGAGAGAGAGGAAGAGGAAGAAAUCAGGGAUGACUCUUACAGUGGGCAGUCGGGUGGUAGUGCUAUUUAUUUCCAGUGCCUGUUCAGAUAUAGAAAGAACUUGUGGGGUGGGAGAUAGAUAGGAUUUUGAAGUAUUUAGUUUGAAGUUUUUCUGAGAUAUUCAAGUGGAGAUGUGCAGAUCUGUUUGCAGUUUUUGAGAGAGAAAAAUUUUGAGGCUAAUAGAUUUUUCAGGAGUGAUUGAAGAAGAAAUUGCCCAGGAUUGAGGACAAACCCCCUGAGCACAUCUAGUUUUAGUGGACAAGUAUCAAAAAAGGCACUGGGAAGGAGAUCAAGAAGGAGAAACCAAGUGUUAACAAAGGAUUUUACAGUAAUACCCUUGGCUUCAUUUCUACCUGGAGACCAGAUUUUCCUUUCAGCACCCUAUAUUUGAUCUUUGUCCUCAGACCUAUUCUUACUUUGAGCAUUCUCUGCUGGGAGAAAUUGUGGAUGAAAUAUAGUUUUGUUUUUGAACCCAGCAGUUGCUGGUUCUUUUAUGUUUCCUCUAAAUUCUGCUUGAAAACAGAAUACUUUGUUCUUUAGCUCAUCUCUCUAUCUGUACCUUCUGUUAUACAUAUUAAAGAAACCAGUUGACACUUUGGACAUUCUGCUUGAAAUUACCUUAGCUAGAAGUAACAGUUCAUUUCCAAAAUUUUCUGUUUUUUAACUUACCACAAGCAACAGUUUUGCUAAAUUUUCUGCUACUUCAUAACAAGGAUCUUCUAUUUUCCAGCUUCUGAGAAUAUUUUACUCAUUCUCCUUUAAGGACCCUCCAAUAGCCUCCUUGGGGUUCAUCAGGCUUUUGCUAAUGAGAUCCUCAGGGCUCUUCCAGCUUGUGCCUACCACCCAAUCCCAAAGCCAGUGUCACAAAUUUUGUUUUUGUUAGGUCAACACUCCAAUUCCAGGUACCAAAUUCUGUUCUGGUAACUAUCACUGUUUAACAAACCACCCUAAACCUAGUCCCAGAGCCUGCAUUGCUUUUCCUAAACUAGCCUUGGAAGCCACUCAGUGUCACUUUCACCACACUCUCUUGGUUACAAGCAAGUUAAAAGUCAACCUGGAUUUAAGAAGGGAAUUAGACUACACAUCUUAUGAGGGAGUGGCAAAUUUUCAUCAUAGAAGAUCACGUGGAAUGAGAGAGAUUUUUGUGGCAUAUUUGAAAAAUAGUCUGUUGCCGAUGGGUAAAAUAAAAUACAUGAGAUUAUGAAGGAAAAAAUUAUAUUAAAAUUACCAAACUAAUUGUGAUAAAGUAAUAUGUGUUUAUUUAACAUGAUACACAACAAGAUAUAGUGGCAGGCCUAUAGUAAUUUAGUAAAUUAGUAAAUAUAGUAAAUAUUAAUAGUUUUAGAGAUUGGAGAAAUUAAAGAAAUAAUUUAUAGUGAUUUUAAUAAUGUUUUAAUAGGACUAUCAAACUUGAUUCCCUCCAACUUUUUUUCUUUCUUCUGUUGUAUGACCAGAAGCAUUUGUCUAAAACCAAAACCAUUAUUACCCUGCUUGAAACCAUUCAGUGCUUCACAUUUUCAUUGGAAUAAAGUCCAAACUUCCUGAAUUGGCUUGUUGAAGAUCCUUUGUGCCCUGUUCUGGUUCUGGUGCAUUUUUUCAUCCUUUCUUAUUUUCCAGUUCUGUUGCUUCCAUGCCAAACAAGUACUUUUUUUCUACCUAUGCAACUUUGCCCAGGCAAUAGGUCUGUCGUACUCCCUCUCUUCACGAACAACCUCUAGUAUAUCUACUAAACUCCUACUGAUCUUUUAACACUCAGUUAAAAUAUUAGGUAGUCUGAUAAGCCUUUCUUCACUUCCCCAGGAAGAAUUAACACCUUCCCCUUCUAUAUUGCCAUUGUGAUUUGUACACAUUUCUAUUAUAGCACUUGUUUCAUUAGGUAAUAUUUGCAUAUCUGUAAGCCACAACCUGUGCCUCCAAAGGCAGUGGCUAAUUUGAUUCAGCAUGGUAUUUCCAGCACUAAUAGUGCCUGGCACAUACAAGUACUUAAUAAAUGUAUGUUGAAUGAAGAAUAUACUCAGCAGAGUGCUUUAAGUGUGAAUUGCUCUAAAUAGCAUGUUUGUAGUAAACUCCUGCAUAGCCAAGAUGAUUGAGGAACGGAGUAGUCCAAUAAUUGAUUAUGCUGCAUAACAGCCAAUUACAAAUGAUCAAUUUUAGAUAAUUUUAAUACAAAACAAAAUGGGCUGGAUAGAAUUUAUCUGUUUUUAUUAAUCCAUGGGACGCUUCGGCAUGAUCAUUCUUAAUUAUUUGGCUUGUUCAGAGCUAUGGCUGAGGAAACUGUAAGGGAUUGAGUAUUAUCUGUAGUGUUGCAUUGUCACAAGCUGAGCCUUGUUUUUUAGUUGAAUCUCUAACACACUUAAUUUAAUUACUAUUUUGCAUACCUGAGGAGUAUACUAUAAAUUUGACACUAGAUAAAACGGAUUCACAAUUGCAUUAUUAUCAAAUGUAGUUUUAAAAAUGCUCAGAAGACAGACAAGCAACAUACCUUAAGAUGUAUGCACUAUUUCAAUUCACCAGACAGCUUGCUGCGUUCAGGCUGUGCCCUAUUCAGUAUUCAGUGACAAUCCUUGCUGAGCCCAAGUGAAGUCUUAUGAACUGAGCUAAGCAGGUAAUUUGAUGGUACUCUCUGGCCAUGAAUGUUUCAAGAAUGCUUGAUCCCCACUGACAUUAUAUAUUUAUUCUUCUCUGGUUCAUAUGACAGUAGUGUGAGUGGUUGCUGCUCAUUUGUGUAUUAAUUUAAUGGUUCUCUUCUGCUCUCACCUGCUCAACAACAGUGUUGCCAUUUAUUAGUUGUAAAAUUGAGAAAUUACUUUUAUGCAUAGGAGCCCACAUUUUCAUAUAUUUGGAAGUGGCUUUGAACAGAAGCCUGUUUGGAAACCAGGGAACAUGCUCUUAUGUAUUUGUGCAAAUGAUCUGAAGACCAUCAUGGUAGCUGAGCUCUGACAUCCUACAAUGCUGUGCCAUGUUCUCUUUUUAAGCUUAGAAAUCUUCCUGCAAAGCUUGAUCCUUUUUAAAGCAACAAUUUGGAAUAUCAAGCAGAGGUAUAUUUCCUAAAUGACAUUCAGAAACAUGUAUUGUAAAUGUGACUAUUAUUUAGAUGCCAUAUUGUUCAUUUGGCUUAUCUCCACUUGAAUCCUUUUCUUUUCAUCAGUUUCCCAGCCUGUCUGUCCUUUAAGUUGCAUAAUAAUACAGUGUUUGUAACAUAAUUAUUUUAUGAAAGUGGAUUAUCUUGACCUAAGUACAAGAAUUGAUUGACCUAAGGGUUAACUUGAAAAUCCUACAUGAAAGAAAGAAAGGACAAUUUUUUUUAUUAAGAUUAUGAUAGUUAACCUUGUGAAAUUACAGUUGUACAUCAUUAUUAGUCAUGUUGUAGGUACACCACUUCACCCUUUGUGCCCUCCCCCCACCCCCCCUUUCCCCUGGUCACCACUGAUCAGUUCUCUUUGUCUAUAUGUUAACUACCACCUAUGAGUGGAAUCUUUCUCUGUCUGGCUUAUUGAAAGAAAGGACAAUUUAAAAGAUUGAUUAAGUAAUUUUAAAGAAUGUGAAUAUUAGAGUCGUUAAUGAUAGAAACAAUGGACUGCUUGAUUGAGUAUGAUAAAAUAUUCAGCAAGUCACUAACCCAGCUGUCCUGUUUGAAUAAUCUCUGUACAAACAGAACAAAAAUAAUUCUUGCUACCUUGUACUAAGCCAAUAUCAACUGAGGUUUUAGUUUGGGAAAUUUGUCAAAAAACUGAACAUUUUUACGUUAAGAAGCUGAUUGAUUCUAUUAAUUACAGAAUGGAAACGCUUAUGUCUCUAUAGUAUGACUUUAAAAAUAAUUAUUAACUGAAUAAAAGAAUGUGAUUGCUUGCUAAGCCAUACUUUUUUGUAUUAGUAAAGUUAUGAAUAAGAAAAACUUUUAAUCUCAGUUUUAUGAGAAGCAGUAUUCGGUGUCCUAGAUUUUACUCUUGGUUCCCUCACUAGCUAGCUGGCUGACUUUGAUGCCUUGGGUUUUCAGAUGAGUCAAAUUAACUGUCUUACAGUGAAAAUCAGUUGGAUCUUAUAUGUGAAGGUGCUAUGUAAAAUGUAUUCCACAUGUAGGAGUUAAGCAAGAUUUUAUUAGCCCCUUUUGUGCCUGCUUUUUAACUUUGGGCUGAUCACUUAAAUUCUCUGAACUUUUGUUUCUUUAUAGGUGAAACAGAGGAGUUUGGCCUGUAUAUUCAGCUCGAGAAGUACUAUUUAGGUUGUAUUCAGCUCUUACAACCUAUAACUUAUGAUUGUUUUGCUCUCCCUUUUUCUUUAACAUGUGCUUACCCCUACUCAACUUACUGAUACUGUGGUUACUGAAUAAUAGGAAUGAAUUUCAUUUGUCCUCACCUAUUACAUUUCAUUUGCUCUUUCUAUCAGUCUUGUGAGAGUAGGUGGUAGCCUCAUUUUACUGAUGAGGAAAACAGGUUCAGAGAGGUUGCACAGCUAAUUAGCGUUAGAGGUGGGAUCCCAGUCUCUGAUGUCAAUGUUGUUUUUUUUAUUUCGUUGAGGGAGAUUGACCCUGAGCUAACAUCUGUCACCAAUCUUCCUCUUUUUGCUUGGGGAAGCUUGUCACUGACCUAACAUCUGUGCUGAUCUUCCUCUAUAUUCUAUAUGGGAUGCUGUCAGAGCAUGGCUUGAUGAGCGGUGUGUAGGUCUCGGUCAAGAAUCCAAACCUGUGAACCUGGGCCACUGAAGCAGAGCGUUCAAACUUAACCACUGUGCCACCAAGGCCAGCCCCACCAGUGUUUUUUUUUUUAAUAGCAUGUGUCUUAAGUGAAGACACAUUGCCAUAUACCUCAUCUAAAGCAAACUUUUGAUCUCCAUUGUUUUCCUAUUCUUUUUUUCUCAAAAUGGGUAGUUAAAGCCUUACCAAAAUGCUUUUGUAGAAAAAUACAUCUAUUCAAUAGCAGUAAGCGUAAUUUGGGAAUUUUAACAUUAUAGCACCAUAGCAAAGUCUUAUUAGCAUUAUAUAACAUGUACAGUAAAUCUGGAAAUUUUUCAGUGCUGGAAAAUAUAGUUUGUCCUUCAAAUUAGAUGAGUUCUGUUUUAAUAGGUAUAUUUUAUUCUUAAAGUAUAGUAUCAUUUAAUAUUAUAGAUGCUUUUAAACUUAAAGGCUUGUUUUAUGCUUGCUACAAAAGGAAAACAGAUGAUAUAAGUACUUACUCAAUUUUUUUCCAUUUAUAAAAUCCUAAUUUAUUUUGUGAUUCUAGGAAGAGCAUUAGACAUGGCAAAAUUUUCUAAAAUUUUUAUUCUAGGAGAGUAUUAUUUUAUGAUAUCCAUAAUUUACAUUUAAAUUUAAAAAAUCUCUGGACUAUCUGAAAUGAGUAGGUCAGGCAGGGAUUAGGACAAGCACAUCCAGAAACAUUCAUUUCUGUCUAGAGUUUAUUUAUGAGUUCUGUGUUUUAACAUUUCCUUUUAUAAAGAAAGCCUCAGAUAUCCCCUUGUCUACACACGUCAGCACUAGGUAUCUUACUCAGAACACUAUUGUUUUUAGGGUGAUUGACAGCACUGGUUCAGCUAGGACUCUGAUGCUGAUCCUUUCUGAUUCAGAAACCUUUACCCUAGGAACAUUUCUUAACUCAUGUUUCUCUUUUCUCUGUCCAAAGUUUCCUGGUGGUCAUUAUUAGUCUAAAAGUGGGUUUCCAUGAAAACUCAUUGGUCACAGUUUUAUUUUUAUCUUUCCAACUGGUAACUUUAAAAUGGCUAUGGCACUGAGGAGACCUUAUCUGCUGCCGUUCUUAACCCUGUUCAUGAAACUCCUGCCACAUAGACCUUCUUUUCUGUUAUAUGAAUAUACCAAGUUCAAUCCAGUCAGGGUCUUCUAUUACUUGUUUCUCUGUAGGGAAUGGACUUCCUCCAGACUGUUGUUUGGCUAUAUCCUUCUUGUCAUUUAAGUCUCAGCUUAAAUGUCCCUUCUUCAAGAAGUUUUCCUUUACAACUCACUAUAAAUUAACUCUCCUCUAACACUCUUUAUUACACAACUGUGUUUUAUUUUUCUUCUUAGCACCUAAUGAUUAAUUGAUAGUUAUUUGUUACUUAUUUAUCUCCUCUCAUGGGGACGGGGACAUUUUAUUUUGUUUAUAGCCGUAUCUUCAGCACCUAGAACAGUGUCUGGUACAGUAGGCAUUCCAGCAAAUAUUUGUUGAAUGACCAAAUGAAUGGAUACUCUUUCUAUUGACUAUUUAUAAAAUUCUUUACUUGACUUUUUAAUCUUUUUUUUCUUGGUAGUCAGGAAGGUACAAUUAAUAUUUUUGCAAUUAAUAUUUAUGUACUUUUGACAUUUUUCUCUUCCUUUGCUGUUCUUUUCUCUAGUUGAAUUCUUUCGGGUGUGGAGGAGGAAGCCUUCUAAUUUUCAAACUCUUGAGUUGUGACUGUUUCAGUUUAUCUACUGUUUGCCAGGUAGUUGUCUGAGCUGGUGCAACCUAGUCACAAAAGCAGUUAAUAGGUGAGAAAAUUGGCUCCUAACAGCUGCUUCAGUCCUGCUUGAGUUGUCCUCUCCCCCAAGGGACUGUCACUGUCAAUCUAGCAAAAUUAAAUUGCCUUCCCAUAAACAUUUUUCGCUAGGAUUACAGAACAGAAACAAAUUCUAGGUUUAUAAAAUGAGUUAAAAUGUGUCAACAGAAUAAAACAGAAUAAUGACCUGCUGCUGCAAUUUGAAUUCUGAGGCAUGGCAGCAAAUGUUUAUUUUCGGAAGAGUUGACAUUGAAACUGUAGCACUUUUAGUUCUAUUGCAAUGACUUUAUUAUGCCAGAAGGGGAGAUUUUAUAACUUAUUUAUUGGUGUUACUGAGGAAAGCAAAAAUUCUAUAGCAUAUAAUUUUUGACCCUUAGAGCUUUGUUUGUGACAUAGUUUUUGAGACCUGCUCCUUCAGUUAACUCCAUAGAAAGGGGCAGGUUUUGGAAAGAAUGCAACUUGAUUUCUUUUCCAUUUCAUUCCCCCACCUGUUAAUUCAUUCAGUACAGAUUCCAUUUGACCAUGAUAGACCUUAACCAUUAUGUGCCAUAACCAAUGUAUCCAUCUUAAAAUUGGAUUCAAAGGGGUUUUAUAUUAACAGUGUGCCAGUUCUAGGUUUUAUAUUGACAUAUGCCUUAAUGUUAGCAAACGUAGCAUUGGUCUGCAUUGAUCCUUUUUGAUAAGUUUUAUUUGGUGUGAUUCCCAAUCUGAGAUUGUUGUGAAAUGUGUUCCCCAUGAAAGUUGCCUUCUAAUCAGUACUCCUUUCCUUUCAGUCCUUUAGAACCUCUGGUCUUUCGUGAAACUAAAAGAAUUUGUGUCAUUAAAUUCUGCUUUAAGGUUUUUUUUUUUAGGAAGAUUACCCCUGAGCUAACUGCUGCCAAUCCUCCUCUUUUUGCUGAGGAAGACUGGCCCUGGGCUAACAUCCGUGCCCAUCUUCCUCUACUUCAUAUGUGGGACGCCUACCACAGCAUGGCAUGUCAAUCGGUGCCAUGUCCGCACCCAGGAUCCGAACUGGUGACCCCUGGGCCGAUGAAGCAGGAACGUGUGCACCUAACCACUGCGCCACCGGGCCGGCCCCUAAGAUUUUGUUACAAAAAUUAAGAGAAAUUUCUUGUACAAUGAGGAUAUUAACUGAGUUUUUGGAUAAAUGAGGUGUGCCUUUGUUAUGCUAAUGUGGUGAUUCAUGAUGGACCCCUAGAUAACUUCAGGACGGGGUCUGGUCACCAGAAACACCAACCGUAUGAGUAGAAGAUUGGGACUUUGGGUCUGUGGAGCUCAGUGGAGCUUCUUGAUUGGUGAACACAUCGAUGUGCUGGGAGAAUGAUGCACCCUGACUCAUGGGGAAAGGGCGUGGAAGCUCUUCAUCUGGGAUCCUCCCAGACCUUGUUCUAUGUGUAUCCCUUAUAAUAAAACUAUAAUUGUAAGUAUAAUGCUUUCCUGAGUUCUGUGAGUCAUCUUAGUAAAUUAUCAAACUGAGGGAAUCAUGGGAAUCGCUGAAUUUGUGGCCAGUUGAUUAGAAAUGCUGGUGGUUUGGGGACCCCUGAAGUGUGGCUGGCAUCUGAAGUAAGUGCAUUCUUGUUUGGGAUAAUGUUCUUUGAUUUGUGGUUUCUACACUGACUCUGGGUGGUUAGUGCCAGAGUUUAACUGCAGUAUACUCAUUUAGGGUUGAAACAGAGUAGUGGUACGUUUGUUAUAAUUGAUGAACCAAUAUUGAUAUAUUAUUAUAAACUAAAGUCCAUAGUUUGCAUUAGGGAUUGCUCUUUAUGUUGUGGAGUUUCAUGGGUUUUGACAAAUUCAUAAUGUCAUGGGGCUGUCAUUACAGUAUCAUACAGAAUAGUUUCACUGCCCUAUAAGUCCCCUGUGUUCCACCUGUUCAUCCCUUCCUCUCUUGCCCUCAAACUCCUGACACCACCACUCAUCUCUUUACUGUCUUUAUAGUUUUGCCUUUUUCAGGUUGUCAUAGUUGGAAUCAUAUAGUAUGUAGUUUUUUCAGACUGGUUUCUUUCACUUAGCGAUGUGCCUUUAAGGUUCCUCCAUGUCUUUUUGUGGUUUGAUAGCUCAUUUAUUUUUAUUGCUGAAGAAUAUUCCAUUGUGUGGAUUUACCAGUUUAUCCAUUCACCUAGUGAAGGAUAUCUUGAUUGCUUCCAAAUUUUGGAAAUUAUGAAAUUAUGAAUUAUGAAUUAUGUGCAGAUUUUUGUGUAGACAUUGGUUCUCAAAUCAGAGGGCAAUUGCUGGAUCAUAUAGUAACACUACAUUUAGCUUUGUAAGAAAUGACCAAACUGUUUUCCACAGUGGCUGUACCAUUUUGCAUUCCUGCUAGCAGUGAAUGAGAGUUCCUGUUCCUCCAUGUCCUUGCCAGCAUUUGGUGUUGUCAGUGUUUUGAAUCGUAGUCAUUCUGAUAGAUGUAUAGUGUAGUAUCCCAUUGUUUUAGUUUGCAAUUCCCUAAUGGCAUAUGAUAUUAUAUGCCAUUUUCAUACGUUUGUUUUCCAUCUGUAUAUCUUUUUGGAUUAGGUGUUCAGAUUUUUUGUCCACUUUUUAAUCAUGUUUUUUGUUUUUUUAUUGUUGAGUUUGAGAGUUCUUUGUAUAUUUUGGGUAACAGUCCUUUAUCAGAUAUGUCUUUUGCAAAUAUUUUCUCCCAUUGUGUGGCUUGUCUUUUCAUUAACAAUGUCUUCCACAGAACAGAAAUUUUUAAUUUUAAUGAAUUCUAGCUUAUCAGUUUCUUUAUUUCUUGGAUUAUGCUUUUGGUGUUGUAUCCAGAAAGUCAUCACUAAACCCAGGGUCACCUAGAUUUUUUCCUAUGAUAUCUUUUAGAAGUUUUAUAAUUUUGUGUUUUACAUUUAGGUCUGUGACCCAUUUUGAGUUAAUUUUGUAUGAAUUUUGUUUUACAUUUUUAAAAAAUUAUAAAAUAUUUGAAACAUACAAAUAGGUAUGAAGACUAAUAUAAUGACCCAUAUAUAAAGUACCUACCAAAUGGCUUUAUGAAAUGUUAACAUUUUAUCUUAUAAAGCUACAGAUUGCCUUAUAAAGCUACCUUAUAAAGCUACCAAUGCAGUUGAGAUCCCUGUAAAUCCCUCCUAAUCUCAUACCUCUCCCCUUCUCAGAAAUAAUCGGUUUUAUGAAAUUACUAUUUUUCAAAUCACUGCGUUUUUAUAGUUUACUAAAUAUUUGUGUGUCAUAUGGUAUUGUUUUACAACUUUUAAAAUUUCACAUUAACAACAUUAUGUAUAUUAUAUGUAUUUCAGCAACUUGCUUAUUUCAAAACUCAGCAUUGUUUUUUGCAAUUUAGAGAAUUUUUUUUUACCUUAGGAAAGAAUAUUUGUUUUGAUUGAGAGCAAUUUAAUGUUAAAGAAGUAACUUGUUAUUGGUUGUAAUUUUAACUUGGUUUCCUGUAUUAGCAUAGAAAGAUAUAGUUCUGACCUGAGGGUUAAAUUUUUCAGCCCUUAAACAUUGUGUCUUUAGAGUUUAUUAUGGGAUGUGCUUUUGUUUUGUUUUGAGGAAAAUUGCCUCUGAGCUAAUAUCUGCCACCAAUCCUCCUCUUUUUGCUGAGGAAGAUUGGUCCUGAGCUAACACCUGUGCCCAUCUUCCUCUACUUUAUAUGUGGGACGUCUGCCACAGCAUGGCUUGACAAGCGGUGCAUUAGGUCUGUGCCCAGGAUCGGAACUGGCGAACCCCAGACCCCUGAAGUGGAGUGCCUGCUACACCACUGGCCCAGACCCUGGGAUGUGUUUUUUAGAGGCUUACUAAAUUGGUUCUGAAGAGCUGUUUUUUGUUUUAAGAAUUUUCUAUGUGUGGGGGGUUGUUUUUUAGAAUGCACACACAAGUGAAAGCAGGUCAUUGAUAUGGUGUUCCGCAGCUACCCUGUUAAGGAUACUCAUCAGAAGCCAGAAAAACUUAAUUAUUUAAAGUGUUCUCCUAGUUGGAGAGUCUUCUUUUUAUGGAUUUCUUUCUGGGGGGCUUUUUCUAAGUUGUGGAUUUUCUUUACGAUAACCAUUAGUUUCUGAAAGAGACCACCAUUUCUAGGUUAAAUCAGAAGAUCCCUACAGUUCAAGGUGGAGGUAAAGCUGUAGCUUCCUCCUCCAACUUGAGGAAAGUGACUUGAUUUUGCUUGGAGCGGGGAAGGUUAAACCUACUUAUUUAUGCUGAUGUGUGCAGCAGGUUUUAUGCAAUAAAAGUGGAAGCUGUCAGAUCUUCGUAGAAUUUUCCGUGGCCUAAAUUAAAUCUGCACCGCACAGGAUUGCAGUCUUCAGAGAAGGCUACUCCCGGUGUCUGCUCUGAUAAUGGUGUGUGCUAACCUGUCACUGGUGAUUUGAUUAUUAUUGCUCAUUUUAUAUCCUUUGGUGUAUAGUUUGGCAGCAAAAAAGCUUGAAUUUCUACUGUUUUACACAUUUGAAAAAUAAUGACCUCUUUCUUCCCCCAACAUUGUUUAUAAUAGGUUCCAGAAAGCUGUAUAAUGGCACUGCCGAUCCAGGUUAUUUUUCUAUCAACAUCCUAAAAAAUCUAUUAUAUUGUAAAGCAUCGUUGACAGAUUCAGUUGCAAUUUAAUGAGAAUAAACUAAUAUGUCAAGGGAAGUGAUUUUUAAGUCGCUGUUCUUCCUUCUCAUCUCUAUUGCAUGAAAUGCUAAAAUAGUUUCUCCCUCUUGUGUCCUCUUCAAGGAUGAAAUGUGUUCCAGAUCUUCUUUCCCCACCCUUUCUUCUAUUAAGACUGUGUUCACAUUGGUGCUAUACUAAUAAAGGAGUACUGGUAAAUGACUUUUUUUUUCUAACUGAAUUUUUUUGAAUUCAAUUUUUGCAUGAUGCCAUGGUUUUAGAUGUCAUUUCGUUCACAGGAACUGGUCCAUGGUAAAUGUUUUGUAGCAUGAUCUCUAGGAGAUGGUGUAAAUUAAGAAUUGAGUUAGUGUAGAUUCUCUGUGCCAGACUAGAGUGUAUCUCCUGUUUGGGGUUUUAUAUGACAGAUGAUGUACUCAUUAAUCUUGGUAUGUUAUAGACCUAUUAAUUUCAGACAAGUCAUCAAAUUCUCAGUUUGGUCAUGUGGUUAAAUUAGAUUAUUGAUUAUAAUCUUUUCUUCCUUGAUUUUUUAAAAUCAAUAUUUACUGAAGUUUUCUUCUUUCAGGUAAGUGAAAUAUUUCUGGCCCCUUUUAAAAUAAAUGAUAUUAAUUUUGUCUUAGCGUACUUAGAACAGUGUUUUAAAAAAAUUUUUAAGUAGACCUCUCAUGACUAUGUUGUCUUGUCCCAGUUGAGUUUAUUCGUAUUUCCUUUACUCCUGUGCCUGUUUGCCAGACUUCAGGAGCAUAGGAUCAUGCUUCUCGCUGCUGGCAUCCUGAGGGAUAGAUCCAUCUCUUAAUUGGUUAUUUUGUUAUCUUUCUCCUGCUCAUUUCCCUGUCUCCACUUGUUUUGCUUCCUCCCGUAAGCACCCACUCUAAUCUGGUUGAUAUAUGUCUUAAGGUAUUUGUGUAUCUUUAGAAAAUACAUAGUGUUUUCUGUGUAUAGUAUGUAACUUCCAUAAUUGGCAUUGGGCUGUGCAUCUCAUCCUUUUCUUUUUUAUUCAGCCCUACAUUUAAAUGAUCUGUCCUUGCUGCUGUAUGUAAUUCUGGUUCAUUACUUCUGACUGCUGUAUUUUAUCAUGUGCCUACUCUUAUCCAUGCGUACUACCUAUCCAUCUUAUUUAUACACUCCCCUAGUGAUGUUUAUGUACCAUAAACAAUGCUGCAAUGAUAAUCUUCAUUUUAUUUUGUGGAGAUAUAUACUUCGUAAGAGUGGGAUUGGUGGGUUGUUGGGUGUCCAUUAUUAACUUCGCUAAGUAUUGCCAGAGUGCUCUGUAGAGUGACUAGACAGUUUAUACUCCUUUGAGCUAUGCAUGAGGAUUCAUAGACCAUUUUCUGUGUAAGCAACCUUGCAAUCAAAUUGGCCUGAAGAGUUGCUUUUAUGGAUAUGAUUAGUAAACUCCAAAAUUAUUUGUCUAUGCAUAAGAUAAAACCGAAGUAGGUUACUAUUAGUCUUCCAGUCAGAAAGCACUCAUGAGUGGAAAAGCUGCCUUGGUUCCUAGUAAAGGUCGCUAUAAAGGGAGAUUUUUGAUGAGGGAAUACGAGAGUGAGCCCUCAGUGCCAAAUAACUUGGCCUACCAGUCACAUGGAGUUUAGCCCAGCAAGCUGUGAAUGAUUAGAUUCUUUGUGCCUACCACGGUUCUUGUAAUACAAACGUGAAUGAGUAGACUCUCUGUUCCUGAAGCUCUUUGGUUAUGGGACAAAUGGGUGUAGUAUUUUGUGGUUAUCUCCUUGUUUGGGAGACCUCUUUUCUCCGUCUGUGAGAAGUUGACUCUGGUCAUGCAGACUUUCAUGGCAGCCCUCCUCAGGUCACUGUUAUUCUUUCUACCUUACUUUCCAAAAUUAAGGCUCAUGGCUACCUGGCCUAUUAACUAUGACCAUCCAGGAUCCCACCAGUCCAUCGUACCUGACCUGGUAAAAGAUUUCCUAGGAAGGGAUGUUGUUAGUGUGGCAUUUGUAUCUUGAAGUGUGAUGAUUAGGGUGGGAAGGAUGGCACGUUAAUAAAUCCCUUUGAAUUGGUGAAGUGGAAAUCAGAAAACAUUAUCUAGAAGCAUAGAUUAAUUAAAAGUAGUAAGAGGGGGCAUGAUGUAUAGUGGCAAGAAUACAGGUAAUGGUGUUGUCAAAAUAGCAGACAAAACACAUUUUCCAAUCUUUACUGAUCUAAAUUCCUGUUAAAGAGCCUAAGAAAUAAGUAGAUGGAUGGACAAAAUCGUUCAUAUGUGUUGGAAACUAGAGCUUACUGCUGCUCAUAUACCAGAAAACCCAGAAUAAUUUUUGUUAGGCAGCAUUGUUGGUAAAUGAAAGAAAUAAUUGACUGGGGACCCCUCAGGAGAACCUUUCUGAAAGAGAACUCCUAACUUGGAAGGGGCAAAAUCUUGAUCAGCGAUUCUACAAGGCACAACACUUAAAUUUCUCUCUUGCCUCUCAAAUCAGAACUAGUAGUACUUUGUGAAUAGUGCUCAUAGAUCCAGAGUUUGCUCCUAGUUCCUCCCUAGGAGGAGCCUGCCCACGUAAGUGGCCUAGUUUCUAAGUUCCUAGCUGCUACCACCACUGUUUCAAACUCUAUCCCGGUUGGUGAAUCUCUGAACUAGCAAUCUAGUGAGGUUUUUUUUCUCAAAAGAUGAAUGUUAUUAUGAGAAGGGAGCAAUUUGGUAGGAUUUUGAAGGGAUGGAAAAUAUAGAUACCAAAUUAAAAUCUACUAUGGAUGCAGUGAAUAGCAAAUUAGGCACUGAAGAAAGACAAACUUGUGAAAUCUUUUCUAAAUGAUAAAAGGAAAAGAUGGGGAAAUGAAAAUGAUUGGAAAAUAAAAGGAGGAUGGAGAUAAAAUGUACAAACGGUAUGAAUUUCAGAAUGAGAGAGAUGGAGCAGAUACAUUGUUCAAAGAAAUAAUAGACGAAAACAUUGCUGGUCCAAAAUUAAUACAAAGAGAAAUAUGAAAAUAUAUCCUGCUGGAUUUUUCAAAUUUGGAGUCAUUUCUGCUAGUAACAGUGUAAAACUGGAAUUGAUAGAGGUACAGAAAGCCAACUCCUAAAUUCUCCCAUGAAAGAGCAGAUUGCUGGGUCAAAAGUGGAAGAGAUGCUGAGUAAACCCCACUAAAUAUCCUCUGCUUCUGAGGAACAAGAGGAAGCAGGAGCAACAGCUAGAAACCUGGCAAGGUGGGAGGCCUUCUUCCUGGAAUAAAGGGUGGUCAGCACCAGAAAGAUUUCAUGAUAGGGUAUAAUCGUUAGAAAAGGGAAGAAAGAAUUAUCAUUCACAAGUGAUGUGAUGAUCUACCUAAAAAUCUAAGAAAAUUACCUGAAAACCUGUUUGAACUAAUGUUAAGUUACACGAUUGUUUACCAACUAAGUAUACUGAAAUCAGUGAUUUUUCAGUAUUCUAGCAAUACUUAGUUAGAAACUGUAAGAAAAAAAAUCCCACAAGUAUUUAGAAAGAAUAAACAAAAAAAGUAUAGAAAUUAUUUUAAGAAAACUUAAUUUUACAGAAGAACAUAAAGAGACUUGAAUAAGGAGAGAUUAAACAUGUUUCUGAUUAGGAAGACUCAGUAUUAUGUGGAUUGUUUCCAAAUCCAUGAAUUUAAGGCAAUUCUAGUCAAAAUCCUAACAAACCUUUUUGAUUCAGAGGUGGGGUAGAUAAGGGAAUUUAACAAAUUUUUUUGAAAUUGAUCUGGAAGAAUAAGUUUAAGAGAAAAAUUUUAAAGAAGUAGAGUUAUGAAGUUGGAAUUGCACUACCAUGUAUUUGAAGAUUUUUAUAAACCUGUAGUAAUUAAAACCAUAUGAUAAUGACUAGAACUAGAACAAGCUACAGUCUCAAAAAAAGACAUAGUAAUAUGUGCUAGUGGUGUCAUUUCAAUUCACUGGGAGAACGAAUGAAUUAGUGUUAAAUGGUGCUAGGAUAUAAAUUGGAAGACUAAAAUUACAGUCAUACUUCAUUCUUAAACUAAGAUUUCAGAUGGAUAAGAUAACGAAAUAUUCUUAUAAUGGAAUAGAAGAAUUUGAGGAAAUGUAUAUAUAAAUAUGUGAUCAAGUAGUGGAGAAAGUCUUUCCUAUUUUAAACAUUUAAGAAAAUAUUUCUUCUUACCCAUACAUAGUUAUUAGAGGAAAGAAAUAACUAAGCAAAAAGAAGAAAGAAAUACCUAGAUUUCCUCCCAAUCAGAGACCACCAUUGAUAGCAUGUUGGUUGUAUAUAAGAGGUUUCUUUAAACGUAAAAUGAAACAAGCAAACCAUAUAUAAAAAGUGAUUGAUGGGCUGGCCCGGUGGUGCAGCGUUGCACGUUCCACUUUGGCGGCCUGGGGUUCACCGGUUUGCAUCCCAGGUGUGGACGUGGCACCACUUGUCAAGCCAUGCUGUGGUAGGCGUCCCACAUACAAAGUGGAGGAAGAUGGGCACGGAUGUCAGCUCAGGGCCAGUCCUCCUCAGCAGAAAGAGGAGGAUUGGCAGCAAAUGUUAGCUCAGGGCUAAUCUUCCUCAAAAACAAAAAAAAGUGAUUGAUUUGGCUGCACAAAAACAUAAAUGUUUCAAAUACCAUUGAAAUUAAAAGGCAGAGGUCAACUAUGCACAAAUAUGUAUGCCACAUGAUAAAAAUUUAACUCCUUUUAUGUAAAAAGAGCAGCAAGUCAAUAAGAAAAUGAAUACCUGAAUGGGAAAAUGGGCAUUCAUGAAUAGGCAAUUUGGCAAUGGAAACAUACGAAUAAACACGGGGAAAGAUUGUCAGUCUCAUAAGUAAACAAAAAAAUUGAAAAUAAAACAGCGCCGUACAUUUUUAAUUUUUUUUUUUGCUGAGGAAGAUUUGCCCUGAGCUAACAUCUGUGCCAACCUUCCUCUACUUUUUCGUAUGAGGGCUGCCAGCACAGUAUGGCUACUAACAGAGCAGUGUAGGUCUGUGCCUGGGACCCAAACCCAGACUGCUGAAGCUGAGCCUGCUGAACUUAACCACUAGGCCACUGGGGCCGGCCGAAGCUACCUUUUUAAAUCUACCAAAUUACUAAAGCUUUUCUUUUUGGUGAGGAAGAUUUGCCCUGAGCUAACAUCUGUGCCAAUCUUCAUCCACUUUGUAUGUGGCAUGCCUCCACGGCAUGGCUGAUAAGUGGAGUAGGUCCAUGCUCAGGAUCUGAACCCACGAACCCAGGUCGCCAAAGCAGAGGACACAGAACUUUAACCACUCGGCCACAGGGCUGGCCCCCUACUAAAGAUUUUUAAAUUGAAAAUACCAGUGUGGAAGAUGGUGCUUGGAAACAGCUGCUGUCAAUAACUAAUAAAAUUUAUAUUUUCCUCAAACUUUUCUAUUUAAAAAAAUUUUAAUAAAAUAAAUUAAACAAACAAAGAGUAUUGUAUGGUGACCAUGUAUAAUUUUUAGAUUCAGGAAAAAUAAUCAACUCUUGUGUUUUGGUAAAAAAAGGACCCAGAUACUCCUUAUUGGGGAGGAGAAAUGUAGUCUGAUAUCAGUAGGAGUAGAAUAAAUUGAUACAGCCAUUCUCUAGGGCAGUUUAGAAAAAUUUGUUAAAAGCAUUCAUGAUCCACAUACCUUUUGACACAACAAUUUUACUUGAAAUAUUUUAUCCUAAAGAAAUUAGCAGAGCUGUGCAAGAAGACAAAUAUUCAAGGAUAUUUGGUGUAUACAAGGAUAUACAAGCGUAUACAAGAAUAUUUGACAUUAAAUUUAGAAACAACCUAAAUAUUCAUAAUAGAAAAUUGAUUGAAUAUACCAUGGUAUAUAUCUAUAGUAGAAUGCUGUGCAAAAAUUAGGAAUGCUUGAUCAUAAAAGUAAAUGACGUGAGCUAAGUAUAAAUUUUAGAUUCACUCUGAUUCUAGUUACUCAUGCAGUUAUUCACCUGUUUACUCAUAAAUACUUAGUGACAACCCAGGUGUUGUUCUAGAAUCUGGAGAUAGAGCACUGAGUGGGGAAAAAAAUGAAACAGACCCUUUCUUUGCCUUCAUGGAACUUACAGGCUAGUCAGGAGAGACAGAACAAUAAAUAAAUAAAUAGUCAAUUGCUGAUAAGUGCUUUGAAGGAAAAUAUAACAGGGUAAGGCAGAUAGGGAGUACCAAGGGAAGAGAGGAGGAAGAUUUCUAUUUUAUAUAAGGUGAGUCAGGGAGAUCUCUGAAGAAUGACAUUUGAAUUGAUACCUGAAAAAAGCUAAGGAAGGAGUGCAAUGUUUAUAUCUGGGGGAAUAGUAUUCCUGGUGGAGAGAACUGCAAGUCAAAGACUUCAGGUGGAAAUGUGUGUGUGUUCCAGCAAGGACAUGGAAGGCCAGCAUAGUUGACACAGAUAAACCAAGGGAGAAAGUGUGUAGGAAGUCAGGUAAGAGAAGUGGAGGUUGAGGGUGAAGACAGAGGCCCAUUACAAUGUUCUUAUAGGCCAUUAUAGGAAACGCUUUGGCCUUCACUCUGAGAUGAGAAGCCAUUGUAGGAUUUUGUGCAGAGGAAUGAAAUAUGACUGACAUUUAAAAAGCUUGUUUUGGCUGUUUUGUGUAGAAGACUGGAGAGGAGGGGGAAUGGGAGCAUGGAGAUAAGUUAAGAGGCUAUUGCAACAACCCUGUCAAGAGAUGAUGGUAACUUAGACUACUGAUGAGAAGUCUAACUUCUGUUUGUUUCUGGAUUUGUAGCACAUACCUACAAACUCUUAUUUGAGGGAAUAAUUAAAUUUAUACAUCAACAUGUAAAUAGUUAUCUCUAUUUGGUGGGAUUGCUGAUGAUUUGUAUUUUCUUUAUACAAAUCUGUGUUUUUCAAAUUUUCUAUCACACUUUUAAAAUCAGAAAAGAUUUUUAAAAUGACUUGUGUUUUUACUGUUUAUUCCCCCUGAUUUUGAAGUCUUACACGCAUUUAAAAAUUUGAGUUGUAUUUCUUUUUGUGUGUGUGUACAUGUGUUAAGCGUUCACUUGUGUCUGGUGUUUCAGACGGUGAGUAUGCCCAACCCUUAAAUUAGAACCAAGAAGUUAGUUAACUCACUAGUGAAAUUGAUUGAGGAAGGAAAUUACACCUUUUUCCAAGCUAGAGAGCGCCAUCUUUAGCAUUUUCCCAAUCAUCCUUGUUUUCCUUUGUGAAGUAAAUUUUAGAAACCUGUUUUAUUACAUCUUUGAUAAAUUUUGUGCUAUUAGGAUACAUUUUUACUUAUGUGUUCUGCUGUUUUUACCUCAUCACUAAUGCAUAAUAACUCAGUGACGAAAAACUGUAGAAUUUCUAUCAACAGAAUGGUCAUGUCUAGGUCAUCCGUGCUAAUGAGAGUUGUGUUGCUGAUUUCCUGAAAAUCAUUUGUACGAAUCAUUAGAAUGAAUGUACUAUGAAUAUUCUCCUCUGAUUUACCUUUCUGAUUUGCUUGAUUUCACCAAAUAUUAGAAUGCUUAUAAACCAACUCACUCUAACCUAGGUGAGAGUUGUAGAGGUCCAGAGUGCGUUAGUUGGCAGAGAGGAGAAAAAAAUCAGACUGAAAUUCAGACUUGGCUAUAGAUAAUCUGAAUGAUUAAGUUCUUAAAUGAUAAAAUCAACAAAAUUUUCAUUAUCUGGAAGCAUAACUUGAGUUUUGUAUUAGUUGAAAAUAGUAACCCUUGCUUUAAUUGGCAGUGUUUAGUCCUCUAACAUUACCUAUAUGGAGAUUCUGGCUUUUUGCUCUGAGGAGUACCUCUCCAUGUGAUAUGAGGAGCACAUUGGUCAGGAUAAAUUUUAUUUUGCUUUGUGUUUUGGUUGAAAUCAUGCUUUAACUAGUAAAUUGCAAAUCUGUAAUGGCACUUGUUUAUAAACAGCAAAAUUACUUCAUGGCCUGUUGCUAGUACUUUGGUCCAUUAAUAAAAAUGUGUAAUUUCUUUCUUUUUUAUAAAAGAGAAAUAUCUCAUCUUACAUUUAGAUUCUGAAGAAAUUUAAUACAUGAACUAUUUUUGUAGUCUAGAAAACUUUCUGUACCUUCUGUAUCUUUCUAUAUCAACUAAGCAACUUGCAUGGUAAAUAGAUGUUUGAUUAUGUUUGACUUGUUUUUGUUUGUCUAAUUGGAAUGUAGAUGUUCAGUUCAGUUUUCAAUGAUCUAAAACCAGUGUUUUUGUUGUUUCUUGAAUGUUUAUGUGAAAAUAAUUUCUUUGCUUAAGAAACAACUAUCUUGCCUAUAAUGUUAUGCUUUCUGAAUUUCUUAAUUACUUUUCUAUGAAUUGCGUGUGGUACUGUGGAAAGAAAAUAGACUGUCAUCACUCAGAGCCAGGUUGAAUCCCAGCUCUGCCACUGAAUAGCUGUAUGAAUAGCUCUUGGAGCCUCAGUUUCCUCAUCAAAAAAACUACCUAUAUUAUGUAUUUGUUGUGAUAUGCCUCUAGCAUUAUGCCUGGUGUGUGGUAGGCAGCCAGUAAGUAUUACUUGAUCUAUUUUUUUUAUAUUUUAAAUUUGACUUGUGUAUUGAAUAGACUUAUGGUUAUUUUGUUACAAUAUGAGAUAAUUUUUAUACAGAGCACUUUUGAUGGCAGUAGGAGAAGAAUGUUAGUUACUAAAUUUGGUCUACAUGAUGUUAGAUCUUUAACUGAGGUCUUGCUUUUUCAUUCUUUUUAAAGAUGUUUAUUGUACAGUUUGAUAGUAUAUUCAAAACAUAUAAUUGUGGCAGAUAACCUGCAAGAUCCUUGUGUUAGAAACUUUCCAUGCAUUGUCUCUAAUCCCACAACUGUAUAAAGUACUUUUUUUUCAUUGAAGACAAAACUGAGGAUCAUAUCAGGAAGGCUUUUUAAAAAUGUGUAUGUAAUAAUGGGCCAGUCAUUAUGGAUUAAAAUCCAUAUGGUAUAUUGUAAAGUGCUCUUCUGCCAUGUUAAGUGGGGGGUGAAGGUUCCGUUGUCAAACUAGAGUCAUCUCCAGUGAGACUGUGGAGUAGUGGUCAUCAAAAAGCCGUGAGGGUGUUGAGCUAUUGCUGUUAGUUGUGAUAUUGAAGCAUCCUGGAAGUCAGUGUGAACUGUUACUGUUUCAGGUUCUUUUGUUUUCCUUUUUCUUCUUCUUCCAUAAUGUGCUUAUCAAUUUUUAAAUCUUCAAAGUGUGUGUACCUUCCUUAAUUUUAAUAAUUUUAUCUUUGACUUUUGUAAUAACAUUGCAUUUAUCCCCUUAAAACCGAAUCUUUUCAAAGAUUUUAUCAAAAGGAAAAUCUAGCAUGUGUUUGGAUUUUUUUUAAGUUGGUGUAGUGCUUUAGUUUUUCAGGGUUCAUAUAAAAGAAUCCAACAACAAUAUAUACAUAGUGUUUCUUUUCUGUUAAAUAGGAAUAUUUAAUUGUAGUCUUAGUGUACUUUGUUAUUAUUGACAUAAUGUUUUACUAAUGUUUAAAAUUGGUCAGUUGUCACAUAUAUAAGUUAUAAGGGGAACUUGUUUUGUAAUUAUCUGCCUAUUAUUUGCAAGGAUUAUGAGUGUUAAAGAGAUGCAGACAGAUGUUUAGAGUACAUUAGAGCCAAGUUUGAAUUUUUAUCUCAUUGGCAUAGGAAUUUACAGUGAUUCAUUGGGUUGUUUCUUUAUUUAACUGUUUUCUGUUUAAAUAUCCUCUUGCCCUCACAAUGAUUGACUUAAUUUAGAACAGUAAUCUGAUGAGUGCAGGGACUAGUUUAAUUUUACAUCCAAAUAUUUGAUUUUGUAGAUAUUAAAAAAUCAGUAUAAACUGUUUACCAUUGUGUCGGUAAUCAUUUGGGAACACUUUUUAGUGUUCAAAUCUUUUCUUAUUUCUAAAAUCCUAGUUACUUAUUUUUGGUCCUUUCAAAAUUUGUCCAAUGAUGUUAUUAAUUACUGUGGAAAACAAAGAGUCCCAGCAGAAGUGUUUGGAUUUUCUUUGCAUAUUCUGAAGGCUUACUUUAAAUAAUAGUCAAAUAUCAUUAUUAUUGUGAUAAAUAUUCUUGGAUUUAGUUUUUUGUUAAAUAUGUUUACUUGAGGCAUAUACUGGUGGACCCUAUUGGGAAUAUUUUACUUUACUAAACUAAGUUUUUGAGGAUUUUUAAAUUUAGUACAUGAAAUAGUUUUUCUUUUAUCUGCCAACAGCACGAGUUCACUUGUCACUGAAUUUUUUUUUUUUAAAGAUUGGCACCUGAGCUAUCAAUUGUUGCCAGUCUUCUUUUUUUCCUUUCUUUUCUUCUUCUUCUCCCCAAAGCCCUCAAGUACCUACUUGUGUACUCUAGUUGUAGGUCCUUCUGGUUGUGCUAUGUGGGAUCCCGCCUCAGCAUGACUUGAUGAGCAGUGCCGUUGUCCGUGCCCAGGAUCUGAACUGGUGAAACCCUGGGCCGUUGAAGUGGAGUGCACAAACGUAACCACUCAGCCAUGGGGCUGGCCCCUGAAUUUUUUUUAUACAUCCCACAUGUCAAGCUGCUUCCUAAACAGAAUAAUCUCAACAUUGAAGACCCCGAUAGAUUCUGUUUUGGGUUAAAUGAGGUACCAUCAGUUUCAGAACCAUCUUAACAUCUUAGGGAGUUGUCUUUCAACUAUUGCUAGGAUGUUGGAUCCAGCAGCCAAGAAUGAUUUUUUCUCCUGGAUUACCAGUUAGGAAGUUUCUAUGAUGAGGGAAAUAUUCCCUGCAUUCAGGGAAUGCUGCCAUCAGAUGGAAAUUAUGGAUUGAAACACGGAGAGAAGGAGUCUUAGAACAGAGCUUUCUAGCCCAACAUUUCAUUUAUGCUAGGAGAAAAUGUAGAUUAAUUUUCAUUCUAAUAAAGUGGGUUUAACUUUAUUUUGAAACAGUUCUGGCAUUUCUGUUUCUAUUGGAGAUAUUUUGUGUCUUUUCUUUUAUUUCUCUUAAUUUAAAAUUUCUGUAUUUACUUGUCUGUUUGAAAGAAUAUCAAGACCCAGAGUAUUUGGUUUUUGAUCACAAGAGGGUAAUUGAAAGUGUUAUUGAUGUUUUAGAAAGUCCCUUUAGCAAAGUUAAUAGUAUACUAAUGAUGGAGUUCAUUAUGUCAUUCUCUAAAAUGCAAAGAUGGAUCUGGGUGGGGGUGUGGUGGGGAGGGAAACAGGAGGAGGAUGUUAGCUGCUCAAGAUAGAUGGCGGAAGUCGCUCACCAAAUGGGGAAAGACUAUCUUCUAUAGUCUAUGGAGAAUAUUUUGAGAUCAUAUUUCUCUUACAAUUUAGAACAUUUAAUAGACAAAUUCAAACUGUAUAAUGUUAGAUUUCUAAACUAUAGAAGUUAAGUUUAGUCUAUAGUUAUAGUUUGUUUUUUAAAAAUUAUAAUUUGUGCCAGUUCUCUGUUAUAUUCACACUAUUACCUUGUAUUUGUAACUAUUUUUAUCUUAAUCCAUUCUUCAAAACCAAUUUAACUUCAGGUCACUUAACAAAAUUUAUCUUGUUUAUAUUUCAGGAUGAACUAAAUUCCUAUCAAAGAAUCUUAGUCACUGAGAGGGAGAGGAAAAAAUCAGUGAGUAGGAUACAGCUGGAUUUUCAGAUCCCAGUUAGAAAAAUCAUCUUUCAACUUAUAAGCUGAGAGAUUUUUAUCUGUAUAUUAUUGAAAUCCAGAAACCACACAAGCAUCUUUUUAAAAUCAGUUCCAGAAUAGAAAGGUAGCACUUCUUCUUGGGGACUUUAAUUUGCCCAGAAAAUGGAGACUUUACAUUUAAAUGUAGACUUAACAAGGCUGACUGCUUCUGGCUCUUCAGUACCGCGGCUCGUUUAUCCUCUCAAUAUAAAAGUGCUCGACAGCUCAGCUCCACCCGCUUGCUGUGGUCACACUAAGGCAAGGGUUUUCAGAAUGGCUGCUAGCUGGAUUUUUUUUCAUAUUAUCUUCAGAUUUUACUCUACAUGGGACUAAUGAACUGAAUUCAGUUCGAUACGUCACUGCUUUGCACCAAAUUGCCUUACUAACACUACUGAGGCAAAUAUUUCAGGAUUUUUCUACAUGGAUUAUGGCUAUAAUAUUAGAAAUUAUUUUUAGCCAGUAUGAAAAAUACACUGUGAAUCUAUUUAAUGAUGCAUUUACUCAGCAAACAUUUAUUGAGCUCGUAUUCCAUAACCAGGUACUGGGAGUACAGAGAUAAGAUGUGAUUCCUGGCCUUGAGGAGCUCAUGUCUGCCUCUAAAGUCUUAAACUUUGGCACAAAGAAAUAAGUGGUGCAUGGGUAUGCUUUUUUGUUUAUUUUUAACUAUAUUUGGAGCAAAUUAUUGCUCACCUUCUAUAUGCUAGAAUUUCAUCUGUUAUAGACCAAGAAUAAUUUCUCAUCUUUUCUCUAAGAAUAAUUUAAAAGGUAAGUCUAAUUUUGAGUGAUAAAGUGCUAGUAAGUCCUUAGAUCAGAGUGGCUAUUAAAUUUCAAAGCAUUUAUGUAGUGAUUAUGAUUAUGAUUGCAGCCUCAGGCAGUCUUCUCUGGAACCUAUUAGGUUAUUAGUUGUCUUGGUUCUAGUGCAAGGCUUGGCAAAGCUUUACUUUUGAAUUAAAGUUUAUAGUUUUGUCAUCAUUGGAGGGUUUGUAGAAUAUUGACCACAUUAUUAGGAGAUAACCAACUCUGAGUGAUUGGUAGUAGCUGCCUGAAGUACCUGUUGACAAUUAGGAGGCUUGUAGGGAUCAUUGGGAAAGGAGUAGUGCCACCUGUUAAUGUCAACGUGAUCAUAAGUUAGGAAGGGAGGGAGUGGGAUUUGUGUUACUUAGGCCAUAUGUUUGCCAACUCCGUAAAGGGGCCUUAGAGUAGACAUUUAGCCCCACGUGUAAACUAAUAUAAGAGUAAUUCUUUCCAUAUCCCUUGUCAGAAAAUCAUCUUCUCUUUGUCCAGCUACCUCUAGUGAGGAGAUCACUGCCUGCCUGAGAUCCCAUUCUGUUGUUGCACAGCUCUGUUAGAAAUUUCCCCCUAUAGUAUCAUAUUUCUUCCCAUCCAGUUAUUACUCUGAGUAUUGAAUGUUCCUGAAAACCUAAUAGGAGGGGUUUCUGGCAAGGGUAAACUGUAAGAUUUUUCUAUCAUUUAUCAACUGUCUUUUUGCCCAUUUUAAAAAACUUUUUAUUUCAAAGUAGUUAAAUAUUCACAGGAAGUUGCUGAAAUAGUACAAAGAGUUGCUGUAUUCUUCAUCCAAUUUUCCCCAAUGGUAACAUCUUACAAAACUAUAAUACUGUAGCAAAAUCAAAAAAUUGAUAUUGGUACAAUCCACAAGCCUUAUUCAGAUUUCACAGUUUUACCUGCAUUUCUCUGUGUGUGUGUGUGUGUGUGUGUGUGUGUAGGUCUAUGCAGUUUUAUCACGUGUAGAUUUGUCUACCUACCACCAUUGUCAAAAUGCAGAACUAUUCCAUACCCACAAAGAGCUCCCUCAGACUACCCCUUUUAUAGUCACGCCCAAUCUUCUGCCCCCAACCCUAACCCCUGGCAAACACUAAUCUGCUGUCAAUCUCUGAAAUUUUGUCAUUUUGAGAAUUUUAUAUAAAUGGAAUCAUAUAGUAUAAUUGGGAUUUUUCACCCAGCAUAAUUCCCCUGGGAUUCAUCCCAGUUGUUGCAUGCAUCAAUAUUUAUCCUAAUUUUUUUUUAUCAUUAUUGAUGUCUUUGCUUCGUAAGGCCACAAUAAAUAUUUGUCUCACUGUAUGAACAACAUUUAAAAUAUUAUAAAAGUGAUUAAUUUAAACUUGUAGCGCUGUUAAGUUUGAAUUCAGUUGUUACACACAUAGUACCUGUGAAAUCUCGGCUUUGACCGUUUGUUGCUGGAUUGUUAGGGCUAAUAAGUAGUACAAGACUGAGUGUCAGGGGAUCUCAUUCUUCUCUCAUUUCUAACCAGAGAGAAGCAUGAGGAUCACAUGCUCCUCAUUCAGCCUCUUUGUGCCACUUCCUCUGUGACCAAAGACUGUCUACCUUUGGAGGAUGAUUAUGUGGAUGAAAUGAGACAUAAAGGUCAAAAUAUAAAUUUUUCUAUACCAUGACAAACAAAAAUAAAUAUGCAAGGUACAAAUGUUAACUGUGGUUGUGUCUAGUGUAAUGAGAUUGACAAUAAGAGCUUGUUCUUUUAAAAAAAGAACUUGUCUUUAUUUUCCAACUUUUCCACAAUGAAUGCAUAUUUUAUCUGUUUUUCUGUUUAUAAAAAUAAUGCAUACUUAUUAAAAAUUGAAGACAAACAUAUACACUAGAAGGUGAAAGCCUACUGAAAUCCCCCACCCAAAGUUAACUACUGUGAACUGUUUGUAUGUUUUUUUCCAUUUAACUUUAUUUCUGGGUGAUGGCAUUACAGAAGUUUUUCUUUUAAUCUGUGUUUUCUGAUUUUUCCACAGUGAGUGUGUAUUUUUCAUUUAACUAAAAUCAAAAGAAAAACCAUAAACUUGUUGGAUGUGUGAAUACACAUGCUCCUAGAGGAAAACAAAACUGAUAAAAUAUAUCUCAAAGUGUUAAUACUGUGGUGGCAUUACCAGUAGCUAUUGUAUUUUUUUUUUAACAGACUCUUUUUAAGAGCAGCAUUAGCUUUACAGAAAAAUCAAGAAGAUGGUACAGAGUUCCCAUAUACCCUCCCCACAACACACACACACACACACACACACAGUUUCCCCUAUUGACAUCUUACAGUAGUAUGGUACGUUUAUUACAAUUAAUAAACCAAUAUUGAUACAUUAUUAUUAACUACCCAUUGUUUAUUCAAGUUUCCUUAGUUUUUACUUAAUAUACUUUUUCUGUUCCAGAAGCCAUCCAGGAUGCCACAUUACAUUUCACAUGUCUCUUCAGGCUCCUUUUGGCUCUGACAGUUUCUCAGACUUUAUUUUUGAUGUCCUUGAUGGUUUUGAGGAGUACUGGUAUUUUGUGGACUAACCCUUUGUUGGGAUUGAUCUUAUGUUUUUCUUGUGGUUAUACUGCAUUAUGGGUUUUUGGGACAAAGACCACAGAGGUAAAGUGCCAUUCUCAUCACUUCAUAUCAAGGGUACAUACUGUCAACAUGACUUAUCGCUGUUGGUGUGGACCUUGAUUACCUGGCUGAGGUAGUGUUUGUCAGAUCUCUCCACUGCAAAGUUACUUUUUCCCCUCCUUUCCAUACACUGCUCUUUAGGAGCAAGUCUCCUGUAAAGAGUCGGAGUUAUGCUUCACUUCCUUGAAGGCAGAGUAUCUAC